GACAGAGGUGCCGAGCGUUAGGCGGAAUCACUGGGCUUAAAGCGUCCGCAGGUGGCUGUGUAAGUCUGCUGUUAAAGAGUCUAGCUCAACUAGAUAAGAGCAGUGGAAACUACACGGCUAGAGUACGUUCGGGGCAGAGGGAAUUCCUGGUGUAGCGGUGAAAUGCGUAGAGAUCAGGAAGAACACCGGUGGUGAAGGCGCUCUGCUAGGCCGUAACUGACACUGAGGGACGAAAGCUAGGGGAGCGAAUGGG
rnacentral:rRNA from 1 species